CCUGUCACCUCCAGCUCCACCAGCAGCAGGAGCAUGGGCACAUCUCUCAUCAGCACACCUCUCCUCCUGGUGUCACUGGUAUUAAACACACCUGGGCAGGCAGGUGGGAGUUCCUGGAGCCCUGAUUCAGCCACACCCUGAAUGUGUGGCUGGGGCUUGUUUCCAGCCCUGCUUCACAUUCCACACAGCCCCGGGUGAGUUGUGGCCCUGCCGGUCUCUCGUUCAUUUUUGAUGCAUUCAGGAUCGUAAGGAGCUGUUAUUUUAUGAUGGAUUAAUGAUUCUGUAUUUGCUUUUAGCCUGUUUUAUGGUGCCCCAUGUGCCUUGGCUGUAACUCUUCUGUUUAUUUGUUUUAUUAUCCCAACUGGCUGCUCAUGGGAGCACCCACUGUUCUCAGCAUGGGCUCACAGAGAGGAUGGGGGAGAUGUCCCAGCCCAGGUAAGGCUCAGCUCACCUCGGCUGGGGAAAUGUGGAUUUGGAGCUGGACUUGGGAGAUCAGAUGUGAUUGAGAGGUGGGGGCUGCCAGGGAAGGGGAAGGAAAGGGAAGGAAGAGGAAGGUUAGGGAAGGGAAGAGGAAGGGGAUGCAGGAAGCAAUAUCUGCUUUAAUUCAGGGACUCUCUCAGUGCAUCCCCCCACCGUGUGCAGUACCCUGGAGCCAAAGGAGCUGCAGCAAGGAGCCAAGGGCUGAGGAGAGGCAGAGAGGAGCUGUCCCAGCUGCAGGUCACAUCCCCACAGCUGGAACCCUUCUCCAUGCUGGCCUGGGUGCAGGUGAGCUGCUCCUGACAUCAGCCAGGUCUGUGGAAGGGGCAGGGAAGCAGAUUCCUGAAGUUAGAAGAGCAAAAUUUCCAUUUUCCUGCCCUCCCAAGCUCUGGGAGGGAGAGCUGUGGCUGCAAUGUGGGCAGGAGCCACCUGUGUCAUCGUGCCUCAGUUUCCCCAGACACAGGCUCUCACUCUGAGGUCCAAGAUGAAGGACACCUUGUAGAUGACGCUGCCCCCAUAGCAUUCAGGAGCCAUCCCCCAAAUACCAAAACCUGCAGGGAAGCACUGAAGGCCAAAACAAGGUAACAAAGCUGCUAGGAGCAAUUGGAGAGGAGAUUGCUGAGAUUUCUGCCAAAGAAUUGAAAAGCUCCAGUUCCUGCAGUGGGACCCCCCAGCCCAGGUAGGCAGGCUCUCAGCUGACAAGAAAAUCAGAAUUUUAUGGAGCUGAAGGUCACCCUUGGGCCAGCUGUGGGGGGACAGAGAGCAGCAACGUGGUCACCAUGGUGCUGGAAAUGUCAUGUCCA
rnacentral:lncRNA from 1 species